GCCGCUACCGCAAGGGCGCAGACCGGGCCGGGGGCUGGGGGUAGUCGUCGUCGUCGCCGCCGCUCUGGUCUGCCUGCUGGGCUGGGCUGCAGCCGCCUCAACGCGGGGCCAUCGCCGGCCGCCUGCCGAGGUGAGAGCGGGGCGCGGCGGUCUGCGCCGGUGGCCUCUCCCCGCAGGCAGGGGCAUCCCGGUGUGCGAGGCCUGCGAGCCCCUCGGUGGCUCCUGUAUAUCAUGCAGCCGUUACUUUUUGAUUGCUUUGUGCCUGUCAGACUUGCAUGAUCAUGCUGGUUCUGUUUGUGGAAAGCAGAGCCCCAGGUUUUUCAUACAGUGAAGCAUUCUGAAAAGACAUCAGUGUCAUUUCUUUAUUGAAGUAAAAACUGUUAAUGAUGACCUCUUUGUCCCAAGGUGGGGAAACAGGAUUUGGAAAGACACCGGUGAGGUGGAAGGGCAGCUGUCACUUGCUAUGAUUUAGAGCUGAAGUUUAAUUAAAGCAAACUGGAUGAUUCUAAUCAAAACCCUGGAAGCCUGAGGAGCAAUGAACUGCUAAAAAUAUAUAAAACUUGUUAUGGUAAAGCGCCUGAGGCUGCCACACAAAUUCUGGGGUAAAUUAUAUGAAAAAGCGAGUGGGGUCUUGUGGAAAAGAAGUGAUGGGUCUUACUCUUGGGUUCUGCUUCGUCUUUUCCUUAAAGCACCACAAAGGAUCAGGGUAUUGGUGAGCUGAUGAGAAGGUGAAUGUUUGCAUGUGAGGAGAAAUCAGUGGCAGCUCUAGUAGAUCAGCCAGGGCCAGAGGGAAAGAAGAGGAAUACAAAACCAGCUAAAGCCUGGUGCUUGUGAAGGCCAUCCAUAAUUAGAAUAUUCAAUUUAAUUUAUAAAAUAGAGAAUGGGAGCAAUUUGAGACCUGCAGCAAAACCAGCAUUACCCAAAAGGAUACAAGGUCUCUUUGCACUUGUGCCUUGCAGGAUCCCCACUGCCCAUGCUGCGGUGUCGGGGUGGUGCCUCCCUGUGCCUGAUCCUGAACAGGAGCGUCAUUGUCCUUCCCAAUGCCCUGCACAAAGGGGUAUUGUCCUGCCCACCAGCUCCAGCCAGAGCAACAAGCUGGUUCAUCCCAACUGGAGACACUGCAGCAGUUUCAAGAAUAAAAGCAGGACAUUUCAUCUCUGUUCAUAAUAAGGCGCUUGGGAAUCAGGCCGGUUUCUCACCUGUCUUGGUCAAGGAUGAGGAGCCGAGUGUUGGCCAGUAAAACCCCUGGUGGGGUGGUCCUAACUCACCCAAAACGUCUUUGAGUCAGCUGUGAGCUCCCUUCACCCCAUAUGUCUUUCAACACGCAGGCUGGUCUUUGAUAAACUCCCAUAGGAUUAUUGUGGGGCUAAUGAGAA